GACGAACGCUGGCGGCGUGCUUAACACAUGCAAGUCGAACGGAAAGGCCCUGCUUUUGUGGGGUGCUCGAGUGGCGAACGGGUGAGUAACACGUGAGUAACCUGCCCUUGACUUUGGGAUAACUUCAGGAAACUGGGGCUAAUACCGGAUAGGAGCUCCUGCUGCCUGGUGGGGGUUGGAAAGUUUCGGCGGUUGGGGAUGGACUCGCGGCUUAUCAGCUUGUUGGUGGGGUAGUGGCUUACCAAGGCUUUGACGGGUAGCCGGCCUGAGAGGGUGACCGGCGACAUUGGGACUAAGAUACGGACCAGACUCCUACGGGAGGCAGCAGUGGGGAAUAUUGCACAAUGGGCGGAAGCGUGAGACAGCAACGCCGCGUGCGGGAUGACGGCCUUCGGGUUGUAAACCGCUUUCGCCUGUGACGAAGCGUGAGUGACGGUAAUGGGUAAAGAAGCACCGGCUAACUACAUG
rnacentral:rRNA from 1 species